GGGGAUUUAGCUCAGUGGUAGAGCGCUUGCCUAGGAAGCGCAAGGCCCUGGGUUCGAUGCCCAGCUCCG
rfam:Rattus norvegicus chromosome 1, whole genome shotgun sequence.